rnacentral:misc_RNA from 1 species
ACAAACUGUCAAAGUGUUAGUAAAUAGUGAGAAGGGCAGCGUGUUGCUGUGUACAUUUACGUGUGCUGUCACCGGUAACAAGGACAAAUGGCAGGUAAAGUCGACGAAGUGUUAGUUUCAUCUGCAAAGUUACUGGAAAUCCUCGCAGGUACCACAGAUGGCGAAGAAGAAGAAAAGUUGGUCGCAGAAUAUAUAAGGACACUAAACAAUAAUGUUCGACUGGAAGAUUUUAAAAAUAAUCUUGAGUGGUUCAAUACCAGCAAGUCACUAUCAUUGUAUGAUGACCUGAAGGGAAAAGUAGUUGUACUUGACUUCUUCACAUAUUGUUGUAUUAACUGUUUGCACAUACUUCCUUAUUUGAAGACCCUGGAAGAUACAUGUUCUGUAAAGGAUGGCCUGGUGAUUGUUGGUGUACACAGUGCAAAAUUUAAUAAUGAAAAAGAUUCGGCAAAUAUUCUUUCCGCCUUGCAACGCUAUGAAGUGCAUCAUCCUGUCGUUAAUGAUUCUGAAGGUAUAAUGUGGAAUGACAUUGCCAUUCCAUGCUGGCCUACACUACUUGUGUUGGGUCCAUCGGGUGAGCCCAUUUUGGUGCAGGUUGGAGAGAGUGGUGUCGCAGUAGCACUGAAAUUUGUAAAAAUUGCUUUGAAAUACUUCAGAGAGAAAGGAUAUCUAUCAGAACACACCCUGCCUGUGACACCAGCGGCACAUUUACGCCCAAAGUGUAACAACUCACUAUUGUUCCCAGGAAAGAUCACUGUCUGUCACUGCUGCAAGGAAAAACCAUGUGGCACCAUUGCGAUUUCAGACACUGGCAACCAUCGUGUUGUUAUCAUGUCAGACUGUGGUAAAGUUGAGUCUGUGAUUGGUGGAACAGAGAAAGGCUGCUCUGAUGGCAUCUUUACAGAAGCCCAAUUCAACAGCCCUCAAGGAUUGGCAUUUCAAAGCUGUAAACUUCUGUUUGUUGCAGAUACAGAAAACCACUGCAUCAGAAAAAUAGAUCUCACUGCAUGCCAAGUGACAACUGUGGCAGGAACAGGCAAGCAGGGGCACGAUACAGCUGGAGGUGGCCUGUGGACACAGCAGUCCCUAUCAUCUCCCUGGGACCUCUGUCUUGUUCCUGGAAGAGAGGCAGAUGCACAAAAUGAUCUCAGUGUACUUCUUAUAGCCAUGGCAGGCACUCACCAGUUAUGGGCUCUGUUUCUGAGGGACACUGUGUGGUGGAAACAGCAGUUUUAUAAGGAGGGAACUUGUGUUGCCAUUGUGGGUACUGGGAAAGAAGAAAAUCGUAACAACUUAUAUCCUCAUGCAGCAGCUUUUGCACAGCCUUCUGGUGUGACACUCUCUCCUGAACUGCAGGCUGUCUUUGUGGCAGAUAGUGAGAGCUCAAGUAUUCGGAGAGUAUCAUUGGUUGAUGGAAAAGUCAGCGCUGUUGCUGGUGGCAGUAGAAGUCCUUUUGAUCUGUUCCAGUUUGGAGAUGUAGAUGGGAAGUUAUAUGAUGCUAAAUUACAGCAUCCUUUAGGAGUUGCUUGGUGUCCAAGGAAUGAAACACUAUAUGUGGCAGACUCUUACAACCACAAGAUAAAAGCUAUCUCAAUUUCAACUAAUUUCUGUAAAACCUUUGCUGGUAGUGGAAAAUCUGGUGACUCAGUUGGACCCAUAGGUGAUAAUUCGGUUCAGUUCAGUGAGCCAGGUGGGUUAUGUGUGAGUUCUGAUGCAUCAAGAAUUUACAUUGCUGACACAAACAAUCACAGUAUAAAAGUGAUUCACUUGGAAUCGGAAUUGCUUGAAAGACCAAAAAUAACAAAGUUAUGCUGUGAUGUCCGCUGAAGGUUGUUCUCCAAUUGUGUGCAGUGUAGCCAUUCUGAUUUUCAUCUGAAACCAAAAAGGUGGAUGUUCAUAUUUCUAAUAUGUAUAAGAAGAAGACAAGAGCACCAAGAAAUUGUGUCCAGACUAAAAUUGCUAAAAUACAUCCUAAUGGAGGAACAGCCAAACUGAAAUUUCUUGUUGGUCUUGAUGAAGGCU